rnacentral:rRNA from 1 species
GACACGGCCCAAACUCCUACGGGAGGCAGCAGUAGGGAAUUUUCGUCAAUGGGGGGAACCCUGAACGAGCAAUGCCGCGUGAGCGAAGAAGGUCUUCGGAUCGUAAAGCUCUGUUGUAAGAGAAAAACGGUCAUCAUAGGGAAUGAUGAUGAAGUGAUGGUAUCUUACCAGAAAGCCACGGCUAACUACGUGCCAGCAGCCGCGGUAAUACGUAGGUGGCGAGCGUUAUCCGGAAUCAUUGGGCGUAAAGGGUGCGUAGGUGGCACGAUAAGUCUGUAGUAAAAGGCAGCGGCUCAACCGCUGUUGGCUAUGGAAACUGUCGAGCUGGAGUGCAGAAGAGGGCGAUGGAAUUCCAUGUGUAGCGGUAAAAUGCGUAGAUAUAUGGAGGAACACCAGUGGCGAAGGCGGCCGCCUGGUCUGCAACUGACACUGAAGCACGAAAGCGUGGGGAGCAAAUAGGAUUAGAUACCCUAGUAGUCCACGCCGUAAACGAUGAGAACUAAGUGUUGGGGAAACUCAGUGCUGCAGUUAACGCAAUAAGUUCUCCGCCUGGGGAGUAUGCACGCAAGUGUGAAACUCAAAGGAAUUGACGGGGGCCCGCACAAGCGGUGGAGUAUGUGGUUUAAUUCGAAGCAACGCGAAGAACCUUACCAGGCCUUGACAUGGAGAUAAAGGCCCUGGAGACAGGGAGAUAGAUAUAACUCACACAGGUGGUGCAUGGUUGUCGUCAGCUCGUGUCGUGAGAUGUUGGGUUAAGUCCCGCAACGAGCGCAACCCUUGUUUCAUGUUACCAGUAUUAAGUUAGGGACUCAUGAGAGACUGCCGGUGACAAACCGGAGGAAGGUGGGGAUGACGUCAAAUCAUCAUGCCCCUUAUGGCCUGGGCUACACACGUACUACAAUGGCGGAUACAAAGGGCAGCGAGUCUGUGAAGAUGAGCGAAUCCCGGAAAGGCCGUCUCAGUUCGGAUUGAAGUCUGCAACUCGACUUCAUGAAGG